GACGAACGCUGGCGGCGUGCUUAACACAUGCCAGUCGAACGGAAAGGCCUGCUUUCCCUUGUGGAUUGCGGGUACUCGAGUGGCGAACGGGUGAGUAACACGUGAGUGAUCUGCCCCCAACUUGGGUAUAAGCCUGGGAAACUGGGUCUAAUUCCCGAUAGGACUGCAGGGUGGUGCCUGUGGUGGAAAACGAUUUUCUAGUGGUUGGGGAUGAGCUCGCGGCCUAUCAGCUUGUUGGUGGGGUAAUGGCCUACCAAGGCGGCGACGGGUAGCCGGCCUGAGAGGGUGGACGGCCACAGUGGGACUGAGAUACGGCCCAGACUCCUACGGGAGGCAGCAGUGGGGAAUAGUGCACAAUGGGCGGAAGCCUGAUGCAGCGACGCCGCGUGGGGGAUGACGGGCUUCGGGUUGUAAACUCCUUUCGACCGCGAGGAAGCCACCUGGUUGGAAGGGUGGUGACGGUAGUGGUAGAAGAAGCACCGGCUAACUACGUG
rnacentral:rRNA from 1 species